AUGAUGGAUUCGGAAGAGACUUUCAAGGACGAAAGCACCGAAGGGGCAGAAACUCUCAGGUAAAAGGACUGAAUCCGGACG
rnacentral:ncRNA from 2 species